ACCCGCUGUUCGGGAGCACGUUCCUGCACCCGCUCCAGCGCGUCGCCUACAUCAACAUCACCACCUACCCGUUCACGGCGCUGUUCCUCAUCUUCUACACGACGGUGCCGGCGCUGUCGUUCGUCACGGGGCACUUCAUCGUGCAGCGCCCCACCACCAUGUUCUACGUGUACCUUGCCAUCGUGCUGGGCACGCUGCUGAUCCUGGCGGUCCUGGAGGUGAAGUGGGCGGGCGUCACCGUCUUCGAGUGGUUCCGGAACGGGCAGUUCUGGAUGACGGCGAGCUGCUCCGCGUACCUCGCCGCCGUGUGCCAGGUGGUGGUGAAGGUGGUGUUCCGUCGGG
rnacentral:lncRNA from 1 species